rnacentral:rRNA from 1 species
GUGAGUCAUCGAAUCUUUGAACGCACAUUGCGCCCGCCAGUAUUCUGGCGGGCAUGCCUGUCCGAGCGUCAUUUCAACCCUCGAACCCCUCCGGUGGGUCGGCGUUGGGGACUUCGGGAACCCCUAAGACGGGAUCCCGGCCCCGAAAUACAGUGGCGGUCUCGCCGCAGCCUCUCAUGCGCAGUAGUUUGCACAACUCGCACCGGGAGCGCGGCGCGUCCACGUCCGUAAAACACCCAACUUCUGAAAUGUUGACCUCGGAUCAGGUAGGAAUACCCGCUGAACUUAAGCAUAUCAAUAAGCGGAGG